rnacentral:tRNA from 1 species
GGAUAUAGCUCAGUUGGUAGAGGGCUUGUAUUGCAUGCACAAGGCCCUGGGUUCAAUCCCCAGCACCA